GACGACCAGCAGCGAAAGCAUCUGUCAGGGAUGUUUUCUGCGACAAAGGACGAAGGUCAGGGUAUCGAAGACGAUUAGAUACCGUCGUAGUCCUGACUGUAAACUAUGCCAACUUGGGUCUUGAACGAGACCUCGGCCUUGUAAAUAGCUAUGCUGCUUACAGGGACAUUGGCGGCUACGCCAAGGAAGCUCGAGGCAAUUGCAGAUCUGGAAUGCCCUUAGAUGUCCUGGGUCGCACGCGUGCUACAAUGACGCCACGAACGAGCUUGCGUGAUGAAAGUUACGCAUAAUCAGCAGUCGGCGUCUUAAGGGAUAGUCUCUUGUAACUGUGGGACUCCAACUAGGAAUGUCUCGUAAGCACAAGUCAACAUCUUGUGUUGAUUACGUCCCUGCUCUUUGUACACACCGCCCGUCGCUCCUACCGAUCGAGUGUUUAGGUGAAUUUGAUGGACGUAAGGAAGUCAAAUAAACCUGAGCACUAGAGAAGAGAAGUCGAUAUC
rnacentral:rRNA from 1 species